rnacentral:lncRNA from 1 species
GAAAGAGGACACAUACAGUCAUGUCAUUAAACUUGGCAGUAUUAGUUCAGGAGUAUUAGUUCAGGAAGGAUUCCUACCUGAAAUAGGCCUUGAUAGAUAAAGCAGCUUUAAAAAUGGUCCGAGAUAGAAUCUUCUCUGUAUUUCUCCCAGUAAACCUCGUUGUUGGAGGCUCUUUUUAUAUACAGAAGUACAGUGUACACAUUUUGUCCUAUCUCUACCAGCAGCUUAUUAGAGGAACAGCUCCUUACUGUGUCAGUUCUUCCACUGUUUUACUCAGAGGAAAGUUUUCACUGAGAAAGGAAGUUAAACCUGACUCUAAACCCCUGUAUACAUGAUGCUAAUUCUCCUUUUAAAUCAAUGGGAGUUAGAAAAAACUACCCAAACCAAGAGCAGGAUUGAUCAGCUGUUUUGCUGUUUGUUGUUGUUGCUUUUUUAUUGCUUACAAAUCCCACAAAAAUAUGCAAUCCUGACUUUUUCACAGCAGACUUCCUCACUAGGUCAGACCUGCUCCUGUUAUUGCACGCAGCUAUUAACGCAUCCAGUUGCUGCUUUAUUGCUGCAGGAGCAAGGCGUUCUCUCCAGAGCCCUGUUGGCACUGUUCACACCCAAAGCCAGAACAUUAGCUCUCCUUAAAAACUUUGCUAGCACCCUCCUUGUGCAGGAGGACAAGCUUUACAGCCCAGAAAGCAUGCUCAGUACCUGCAGAAAGCAUGAGGACAGCUUUCAGGCAGACAAGGCUCUGCCUCCUGCCCAGCAGGUGUACCUUGUCAGGUCCUUCCACCUCGAUGGGCUUUGCCUGCCUCACCUGGGAGCUGGGAGCAGAACUAGCAGCCCUGGUCAGCAGAGCUGUUUCUCUCAGCUUCCUGUAUCACACACGACAGGAGGAGCUGAGCUGCCAGGUUGGCAGCCUCCACCAGAACCAUGUCCCCUUUACAACUCACAUCUGGAGGAGCAACUGGAAAUCAGACCCUGUGGGACGUCAGCAUCAUUAGAGAUGAAGCUAAGCUACAGGUUUAGAAUCCAAAUCUGAGUUCAUUUCCAAGCUGAAGAACCACGGACUCAUUUCAUUGUUUUAUAGAAACAAAAAGCCAUGAGGUUUUGAUCUGCAUCAGAAAACUCUGCAUGUUCAGAACCUGGCUUUGGUCUGGGCCCCAUGCCUGCCUGUAACAGCUGGUUAUAAAGUGAUUACUCAGCAUCGCUUGUCCGGUUCAUUCAUUUUGCAGCCUCUGUACUACUUGUGUGCUGUCAUGUAUAUUUGGCAUCCUUUACCUGUUUUUUAUCCACAAUCAAGUAAAGUAAAACACUUUUUUUUUUUUUUUUUUGCUUUCAAACAGAGGAGCCAAAUUGCUGGAUGGCAGGGGCACAGACGGGAAUCACCUCAAACAUUUCAGUUCCUCAUCUCUGGCAACCAGGGAGCCAAAAACAUAGAGGUUUU